GCCCGCCUACGGGGCGCAGCAGUGGGGAAUAUUGGGCAAUGGGCGCAAGCCUGACCCAGCAACGCCGCGUGAAGGAAGAAGGCUUUCGGGUUGUAAACUUCUUUUCUCAGGGACGAAGCAAGUGACGGUACCUGAGGAAUAAGCCACGGCUAACUACGUGCCAGCAGCCGCGGUAAUACGUAGGUGGCAAGCGUUAUCCGGAUUUACUGGGUGUAAAGGGCGUGUAGGCGGGACUGCAAGUCAGAUGUAAAAACCACGGGCUCACCCUGUGGCCUGCAUUUGAAACUGUAGUUCUUGAGUACUGG
rnacentral:rRNA from 1 species